AUCUCUCGGCGCAUAAACUAUUUCUUGAGGUAACGGAUCACCAACACGAUGAUGCCUAGCUGACCUGAAAGGGUAAUCGGCAACCUUGCGACUGACACUCUGCGGAGACUCCUACAGGACGUCUCACUUGGGAUUCUUUCUCAAUGGACACAUGUCUGAUGGAUCAGCAACCUCUUGAGUGAAUAAAGGUUUCUGCUCUUAAAGCUCUGUUGUUGAAAAAGACCGUGUAUCAUAAUAACUGUUCACCCAGUGACGGUAUUUAGCCAGAAAGCCACGGCUAACUACGUGCCAUCUCCCUCGGUAGUACUUAUGUGACAAAUGGUAUCUUGAUUUAUUGGGCGUAAAUCCAGCGCACGCAGUCUUUUAAGUCUAAUGUCGAACGCCUUCGGCUCAUCCGAACAAGUGCGUUGUAAACUGGUAGAAUUAAAUGCAAAAUACGUCAAUGGAACUCCAUGUGUAGCGUUGAAAUGCGUACAUCUGUCGAAGAACGCCAGUGACUAAUGC
rnacentral:rRNA from 1 species